rnacentral:rRNA from 1 species
UACGUAGGGUGCAAGCGUUAAUCGGAAUUACUGGGCGUAAAGCGUGCGCAGGCGGUUAUGUAAGACAGGUUGUGAAAUCCCCGGGCUCAACCUGGGAACUGCAUCUGUGACUGCAUAGCUAGAGUACGGUAGAGGGGGAUGGAAUUCCGCGUGUAGCAGUGAAAUGCGUAGAUAUGCGGAGGAACACCGAUGGCGAAGGCAAUCCCCCUGGACCUGUACUGACGCUCAUGCACGAAAGCGUGGGGAGCAAACAGG